UACGAAGGGGGCUAGCGUUGCUCGGAAUGACUGGGCGUAAAGGGCGCGUAGGCGGAUGACACAGUCAGAUGUGAAAUUCCCGGGCUUAACCUGGGGGCUGCAUUUGAUACGUGUUGUCUAGAGUGAGGAAGAGGGUUGUGGAAUUCCCAGUGUAGAGGUGAAAUUCGUAGAUAUGGGGAGGAACACCGGUGGCGAAGGCGGCCACCUGGACGGUAACUGACGCUGAGACGCGAAAGCGUGGGGAGCAAACAGG
rnacentral:rRNA from 1 species